GAGGGUGUAGCUCAGUGGUAGAGCAUGUGCUUAGCAUGCAUGAGGUCCUGGAUUCAAGCCCCAAUACCUCCA
rnacentral:tRNA from 1 species